rnacentral:rRNA from 1 species
UACAGAGGGGGCAAGCGUUAUUCGGAAUUAUUGGGCGUAAAGGGCGCGUAGGCGGCUUUGCAAGUGGCGGGUGAAAUCCCUCGGCUUAACCGAGGAACUGCCUGUCAAACUGCAUGGCUUGAGACCGGGAGAGGUGAGUGGAAUUCCCAGUGUAGCGGUGAAAUGCGUAGAUAUUGGGAGGAACACCAGUGGCGAAGGCGGCUCACUGGACCGGUACUGACGCUGAUGCGCGAAAGCGUGGGGAGCAA